UACUAGAGUAGCACUCGCAUAUCAAUAAGCGGAGGAAAAGAAACUAACAAGGAUUCCCUUAGUAACGGCGAGUGAAGCGGGAAGAGCUCAAAUUUGAAAUCUUCAAGGUUUUACCUUGACGAAUUGUAGUUUAAAGAAGUGGUUUUCUGUUGAAGUUUUGGUAAAAGUUCUUUGGAAUAGGACAUCAUAGAGGGUGAGAAUCCCGUAUUUGACCAUUAUUUUCAGCUGUGUGAUACACUUUCAAAGAGUCGGAUUGUUUGGGAAUGCAGUCCAAAAUGGGUGGUAAAUUUCAUCUAAAGCUAAAUAUUGGCGAGAGACCGAUAGCGAACAAGUACCGUGAGGGAAAGAUGAAAAGAACUUUGAAAAGAGAGUUAAACAGUACGUGAAAUUGUCAAAAGGGAAGCGUUUGACACCAGUGUUGUUUCGUCUGAAAAUCAAUUAAAAAAGGCCGGAUUUUGUGUUGUAUUGACCUUAAAAGCUUUCUUCACUCUUUUCUUGUCUUUUUUAAUGCACUUUUCGUUUAACAAGUCAACAUCAGUUUCUUUUGUUGUAAAAGGGUCAUUGGAAGGUGGCUUUCUUUUCGGAGAAAGUGUUUAUAGCCUUUGAUCUCUGCAACCGGAGAGACUGAGGUCUGCAGCGUAGACUCUUCGGGGUUAAAUACAUUUGUGCUAAGCUAUAGCUUUUUAUAGACAACUUGUUGACUAUAUUUAGUCUUGCGGCUUACUCGCUUAUGCUAUUUUACCUACGCUUAGGAUGUUGAUAGUCACAGCUUGUAC
rnacentral:rRNA from 1 species